rnacentral:rRNA from 1 species
GACGAACGCUGGCGGCGUGCUUAACACAUGCAAGUCGAACGAUGAAGCCGGAGCUUGCUCCGGUGGAUUAGUGGCGAACGGGUGAGUAAAACGUGAGCAAUCUGCCCUUGACUCUGGGAUAACUGCGGGAAACUGUUGCUAAUACCGGAUACGACACCUUGGGGCAUGCCAGGGGGUGGAAAGAAUUUCAGUCAAGGUUGAGCUCGCGGCCUAGCAGCUCGUUGGUGCGGUAAUGGCUCACCAAGGCGACGACGGGUAGCCGGCCUGAGAGGGUGACCGGCCACACUGGAACUGAGAGAAGGUCCAGACUCCAACGCGAAGCAGCAGUGGGGAAUAAUGCACAAUGGGAGAAAGCCUGAUGCAGCAACGCCGCGUGAGGGAUGAAGGCCUUCGGGUUGUAAACCUCUUUUAGCAGGGAAGAAGCGAAAGUGACGGUACCUGCAGAAAAAGCACCGGCUAACUACGUGCCAGCCGCCGCGGUAA